UACAGGGGGGGCAAGCGUUGUUCGGAAUUACUGGGCGUAAAGCGUGCGCAGGCGGUUCGUGAUGUCUGAUGUGAAAGCCCCGGGCUCAACCUGGGAAUUGCAUUGGAAACUAGCGGGCUGGAGUGUGGCAGAGGGGGGUGGAAUUCCACGUGUAGCAGUGAAAUGCGUAGAGAUGUGGAGGAACACCGAUGGCGAAGGCAGCCCCCUGGGCUAACACUGACGCUCAUGCACGAAAGCGUGGGGAGCAAACAGG
rnacentral:rRNA from 1 species